UCUUAUGGAUGAGCAAAGAAAGUAGUUUCUUGAGAUGCAAUCUACUUCCAGUGAAGAUGCUGUGAA
rnacentral:pre_miRNA from 1 species